rnacentral:rRNA from 1 species
UGAUGAACCAAAACCAAGAUUCUAAGUACUAAUACUAUAAAAAGUAAAAACUUAAAGAUCAUGGCGGCAAAUAUUUCUACCCAGGGGAACUUGCUUAUUAAAUGAUAAUCCGCGUGGAACCUCACCUUUUCUAAUAGUUUGUAUACCGUCGUUGUCAGGUAAAACCUAAGGUUUUACCGAGAGGUCAGAUAGGAAUAUAUUUCAGAUCAUUGUGCAACUUACGAAAAGGAAUUAAAGUGAGUUACAAUAAAUAUUUUUUAUACGGAAAGGAGGUUGAAAGACCGAAUUGAAGGAGGACUUGGAUGUAAAAUAAAUCUGAAGAAAUAUUAUUUGACUUUUAGCAAUAUUUGUGU